ACUAAGCAUUAAAGCGCAUGUGUAGACAUAUCCAAUGUUUACUAUUCUGUUAUGAUAUACAAAAAAUGUCCCUACAUAUGUCUAUCAAAUCUUUUGACUUACUAUUACAUAUCUGAAAUGAGGCCUUUGUUUGCCUUUCUUUGCUAGGGAACUCUGGCAGCCCCUCUGGAGCAUCUAACUAGCACCCCCAUACCUGAUGGUGAGAGAAUUUUUACUGCAGCACUCACCACUACUGAGGAGUGCAAAGCAUGUUUCUUUGAUCUGCCUUCUCUCAAAGACAUUGCGUGCCUAAAAGCCGUAUCAAACUACAAAGUUCUUCCCCAGGUAAAAGACAACAACAGAAGAUAUUUGUUGUUUGUUUUGCAUCCUCAACAACAUGGCCAUGACCAACACCCAUGAGAAUGGAUGGAUACAACUCCUUUUGACUUUGGUGCGUAUUAUGGGAGUCACAUUUAGUCCAAAAGAGGCACUCUGAAGACUUGUGAGGAAAACACAGUGCAGGCCAGGAGGGCUCACUGGCGCGUUGGCUAUGGGAUAUCCUGUCAGUGAAGCUCACAAUGAUCCUGCAUCAGUCACCUGCAGGAGGGCAGGAGCUGAUGACCAGCCUUUCAGUACAGUAAUUUUAUCCCAUUUCUUUGGAAAAAGAGGAAGGCAAGAUAAGGUCCUUCAAAGCCUAAGCAUUGCUUCUUGUCCCCUCUGUGUCUUACAAUACCAUUUGCACCCUUAAGUAUCCUUCACCUGAACUCUCUGGUCCAGGGAUUGCAUCUUUUGGGGGUGGGGGAGAGAAAUAAAUGCUCUCGCCAAAACAUAAAGCAGCUUUGACUCUUUUCAUUUCACUUUCACUUGGGCCUGGAAAGACAUUGCAUUUAAGGUUCUCUCUAUGUUUCAUAUAAGCUUCCCAAGGGGUGAAAAGCAGACUAUAGUGGGCAGAGGAGUUUCCUUCUGUGUGUGCACUGAAAAACUUGUGGGCAUCGAGUUUUCUGUUGUACAGCACAAGGGAGGGGAGGGUGGCAUCAGAGACAAUCUUGUUCAGAAAGGCGUGAGCUUUCGGAGGUGACAGCCUACUUUGCCAGAUGCUGUGCUGUGCAGCAUAGAGUUAAAGGUCUUCCUUGGGCAAGUGUGAGGUGGGCCGAGGCAGAGGGGACAGAAAACAGGAGGUUUAACCUCCUCUAGCCUACUUGAUAAAGAUCCAGAAGUUGAAGAAAUACUUGUGGAAUAAAUUGUUUUGACAGAGCAUGUGCUGAGCUCUCUCGCCCCUUCAGUCGUGAGGCGGUUCUUUGAAAUAAGCCUCCUUGAAAACAAACACAUGUUUAAAGCUCAUUAUAACUCCUGCAAUGCUAAAGCAAGAUCCUUUUUGUCAGUUAAACUGACAGCACAGAUAAGGAGAGCUGGUGCCAGUAUCAUCUGUUACACAACAAACCACUCUCGAUGAAAGAAACAGCCCCCUGUCAAACGAAUUUCCUUUACAACUGCCAAAAGGGCUAUUUUUAGUUUCAUCUGCCAUCUUUUUUCCCUUAAUCAUCUGUUUCACUUUUCUCUGAGCUCUGAGUCCCCCUUCCUCCCUUGCGCUUGCCUUCCUUCCACUCAAGAUACCUGGUGAUAAACUGCUGCUUGACACGACCAGGCUGUCGUCAAUCCCCGAGCACAUGCACAUGCUGAGACUGAAUCGCCGUAGGAAGGCUGCCCGCAAACCAAGCGUCCCUGCUCCCCCACGCCUAGCUCGGUCCCUGCUUUAAGAAGGAUGGGAGCCUUCCUUGUAGGACGGGGCAGAUGCACCCAAGGGGAUCCACAGCGAUUUAUUUGGAAAGCUCAAAUGCUAGGCUGUGUUACACGGGAACUUUCAGUGCGGCUCCUUUUCUCUUUGGAAACAGAUUUUCAACCUCAGUCGGACAACUAUGGAGGUGCUUCCUCCCAGCGACACAGCCGUACCCCACCGGGGCGUGAAUUGUGCAGUCCGUUAGUGGCUGGGCUGAGGCCAGUUCCCACUCAGGCUUUUACAGAAAAAGUCAAGUGCUUGUAGAAGUGGUAGCGCUGGCUCAGGAGGUGGCUCUCCUCCCAGGCUGUGCCCAGCAACUGCCCAGCGCUAGGAGUCACCCUGCUGCUCGAACGGCCGUCUUUCAGAUGAGGAGACAUAAAAACGAGGUCCUCACUUUCUUUGAUCAUUAAAGACCCCGUACCACUUGUCACAGGAGGAUCAGCCUGCUACCAGUUUGGAAUAUCCUGGAAAUGAUCAUGGUAAUCCUGUGCUUUGUCCAGCAUCACGUUCAUUAGAUACAGCCCAUCGUUCUCCAGGGCAACCUGUCUAGGGUAUAGCAGCUGUGGACAAUGUUAUGGCCUCUAUCACCAUAGUCUGUACAAUCAGGGUUUAAACUACAGGGAAGCUAGGAGGGAGGGGGAUGAGCCCCCCCCAUAAGAGACGAGAGCCCCUCUGUACGAUUUGAAAAUCACAACCUGGGAGGGUCUCUGAUCGCAUUGCUCCUUCGCUUAGGUGGACUUGCUAAUCAAUGAAAUCAAAGAUCGAGAUUGUCUUGACCCCCCCCGCCCUUCCCCAAGAGUCAAAGUGUCAUUCAAACCCUGUGUACAAUGCCCCUGUGUGGUACACAAGUGAUAUUUCCCAUGUGGGGACUAAGGCGCUCAAGAACUCAUGCGAUGUUCACAAGUUUGUGGCAAAGUACAGAACUGAACCUGUUUCCUCCGUCCUAAAUUAGCAUUGUAACAACUGGUCUGUCUCUCACCAUUUCACAGUCUGAAAUACUUUUUAGACAGGCAAUUUUUAUUUUAAAGCAAAAUUUGAUCAACAGAAAUGAGGUUUCAAGUCCUACAAAGAGGUUGCAUAAAACUUUUUUUUGUGGGUGUUGGAGGGAGGGUGGGGAUGUUAAUUUUUUUAAGCAAACACUAUUAGUUGGGUUUAAAAACAAGUUGGACUUACUGUUUUCAUGGUUGUCGUCUUUUUUUCCAGUGCCAGGAGCUGCGUGAGGUGAAAACGGAAAACAACCAAACA